AACGAACGCUGGCGGCAUGCCUAACACAUGCAAGUCGAACGAGACCUUCGGGUCUAGUGGCGCACGGGUGCGUAACGCGUGGGAACCUGCCCUUAGGUUCGGAAUACCUCCCCGAAAGGGGUGCUAAUACCGGAUAAUGUCUUCGGACCAAAGAUUUAUCGCCUUGGGAUGGGCCCGCGUUGGAUUAGCUAGUUGGUAGGGUAAAAGCCUACCAAGGCGACGAUCCAUAGCUGGUCGGGGAGGAGGAUCAGCCACACUGGGACUGAGACACGGCCCAGACUCCUACGGGAGGCAGCAGUGGGGAAUAUUGGACGAUGGGCGAAAGCCUGAUCCAGCAAUGCCGCGUGAGUGAUGAAGGCCGUAGGGUUGUAAAGCUCUUUUACCCGAGAUGAUAAUGACAGUACCGGGAGAAUAAGCACCGGCUAACUACGUG
rnacentral:rRNA from 1 species